rnacentral:rRNA from 1 species
CUCGUAGGCGGUUCGAUAAGUCGGGUGUGAAACCUCCAGGCUCAACCUGGAGACGCCACCCGAUACUGUCGUGACUAGAGUCCAGUAGGGGAGCGUGGAAUUCCUGGUGUAGCGGUGAAAUGCGCAGAUAUCAGGAGGAACACCAGCGGCGAAGGCGGCGCUCUGGGCUGGAACUGACGCUGAGGAGCGAAAGCGUGGGAGCGAACA